UACGUAGGGUGCGAGCGUUAAUCGGAAUUACUGGGCGUAAAGCGUGCGCAGGCGGUUUGCUAAGACCGAUGUGAAAUCCCCGGGCUUAACCUGGGAACUGCAUUGGUGACUGGCAGGCUAGAGUAUGGCAGAGGGGGGUAGAAUUCCACGUGUAGCAGUGAAAUGCGUAGAGAUGUGGAGGAAUACCGAUGGCGAAGGCAGCCCCCUGGGCCAAUACUGACGCUCAUGCACGAAAGCGUGGGGAGCAAACGAGG
rnacentral:rRNA from 1 species